UUCCAGGUUUGUUGCAUCAGCCCUUCAAUUGGUGUGGAAGUUCCAUUAGUAAAUGAUUUAGGAUAUACAAAGGAGAUAUGUGCGCUGCCUAUAGAUAUCAGAAGUGGUAAAUAGUAUGAAGGACUUGAUAGAUUACAGCAGAGAGACAGGGACUGGACCCAUGGUUGCCCCUACUGCAUAAAGAUCUUUUUGCAUCUGGAUUACGCAAGAGAUCCAGCGUUCUUCUGUACGAUCCUCUUGGAACUGGCAGAACAUUAUUAGCAAAAGUUGUUGCUACUGAAUGUGUUAACUUGAUAUUGGGAUAAUAACAAGUUCAAAUGGAAGCAUGCUUGGUCAGAUGUGAGCAUCAGGAAUGUAACUAAGGAUCUUUUUACAAUUUUGGGAAAAGAAAGGCAGUGAUAAAAACAAUGGAGCUCAUAAUGGAUGAUCACACUACUCAUGAAAUUUCAUAUUUUGUAACUAAGUAUAUAAAAGAAGUAGAUAUGUGACAUUUGUUGGAAUGGCAAUUCUUAUUUACUUGUUAUGACUUUAUUUUUUGGUACUUUGUCAUCAAAACCUACUUUUAUGGUGACAAUUUUAUAUGUAUGUUUUUUAUGGGAAAGUU